GACGUAGGAUGCAAGCGUUGUCCGGAAUUAUUGGGCGUAAAGAGUUCGUAGGCGGUUACUUAAGUCUGGUGUUAAAGACGGGAGCUCAACUCCCGCAUGGCAUUGGAAACUGGGUGGCUAGAGUGUGGUAGAGGUCUCGGGAAUUCCAGGUGUAGCGGUGAAAUGCGUAGAUAUCUGGAGGAACACCGGUGGCGAAAGCGGGUCUCUGGGCCGAAACUGACGCUGAGGAGCGAAAGCGUGGGGAGCGAACAGG
rnacentral:rRNA from 1 species